rnacentral:rRNA from 1 species
AUUGAACGCUGGCGGCAUGCUUUACACAUGCAAGUCGAACGGUAACAGGCCGCAAGGUGCUGACGAGUGGCGGACGGGUGAGUAAUGCAUCGGAACGUGCCCAGUCGUGGGGGAUAACUACUCGAAAGAGUAGCUAAUACCGCAUACGAUCUAUGGAUGAAAGCGGGGGACCGUAAGGCCUCGCGCGAUUGGAGCGGCCGAUGUCAGAUUAGGUAGUUGGGGGGGUAAAGGCUCACCAAGCCAACGAUCUGUAGCUGGUCUGAGAGGACGACCAGCCACACUGGGACUGAGACACGGCCCAGACUCCGACGGGAGGCAGCAGUGGGGAAUUUUGGACAAUGGGCGCAAGCCUGAUCCAGCAAUGCCGCGUGCAGGAAGAAGGCCUUCGGGUUGUAAACUGCUUUUGUACGGAACGAAACGGCUCUGGUUAAUACCCGGGGCUAAUGACGGUACCGUAAGAAUAAGCACCGGCUAACUACGUG